CCCUUAGAUGUCCUGGGCCGCACGCGCGCUACACUGAUGCAUUCAACGAGUAUUUCCUUGGCCGAGAGGCCUGGGCAAUCUUUUAAACCUGCAUCGUGAUAGGGAUAGAUUAUUGCAAUUAUUAAUCUUGAACGAGGAAUUCCUAGUAAACGCAAAUCAUCAAUUUGCAUUGAUUACGUCCCUGCCCUUUGUACACACCGCCCGUCGCACCUACCGAUUGAAUGGUCCGGUGAAGUCUCGGGAUUGUGGCCAGUUCACUUUAUUGGGAGUUGGCUGCGAGAACUUGCUUAAACCUUAUCAUUUAGAGGAAGGUGAAGUCGUAACA
rnacentral:rRNA from 1 species